GUGAGGGCGAGUUAUAUAACACCAUAGGACUGGCCGUCCCAUAUGAAAAGAUUAUAUUAGAAUUGAAUGAAGCUUUGUUUAUAUAUUGAUAAUGACAGUAUAUAUAUCGUGUCUUGACUAAUUGCGUGCCAGCAGUCGCGGUAAUACGUAAGAGACUAGUGUUAUUCAUCUUAAUUAGGUUUAAAGGGUACCCAGACGGUCAAUAUAGCUUAUAAAAUGUUAUUACUUGACUAGAGUUUUAUGUAAGAGGGCAGUACUUGAGGAGGAGAGAUGAAAUUUCGUGAUACCAAAGGGACUCUGUAAAGGCGAAGGCAGCCCUCUAUGUAAAAACUGACGUUGAAGGACGAAGGCACAGAGAACAAACAGGAUUAGAUACCCAAGUAGUCUUUGCAGUAAAUGAUGAAUGCCAUAGGUCAGAUAACCAGUUAAUGUUUAUAGCAAAAAAGGGUUAGCCUAGCAAACUAAUGACAUAGACUAUCCAUUAAAAAUAUUUGGUCUAUAAAUGAAAGUGUAAGCAUUUCACCUCAAGAGUAAUGUGGCAACGCAGGAACUGAAAUCACUAGACCGUUUCUG
rnacentral:rRNA from 1 species